rnacentral:rRNA from 1 species
UGGGGAAUAUUGCACAAUGGACGGAAGUCUGAUGCAGCAACGCCGCGUGCGGGAUGACGGCCUUCGGGUUGUAAACCGCUUUUUCUCAUGACGAAGUUUUUUGACGGUAGUGGGGGAAGAAGCACCGGCUAACUACGUGCCAGCAGCCGCGGUGAUACAUAGGGUGCGAGCGUUGUCCGGAAUUAUUGGGCGUAAAGAGCUUGUAGGCGGUUUGUCGCGUCGAUAGUGCAAACUCAGUGCUUAACGCUGAGCCUGCUGUUGAUACGGGCAGACUAGAGGAAGGUAGGGGAGAAUGGAAUUCCCGGUGGGGCGGUGGAAUGCGCAGAUAUCGGGAGGAACACCGGUGGCGAAGGCGGUUCUCUGGGCCUUUCCUGACGCUGAGAAGCGAAAGCGUGGGGAGCGAACAGG